rnacentral:rRNA from 1 species
GACGAACGCUGGCGGCGUGCUUAACACAUGCAAGUCGAACGGAAAGGCCCUGCUUUUGUGGGGUGCUCGAGUGGCGAACGGGUGAGUAACACGUGAGUAACCUGCCCUUGACUUUGGGAUAACUUCAGGAAACUGGGGCUAAUACCGGAUAGGAGCUCCUGCUGCAUGGUGGGGGUUGGAAAGUUUCGGCGGUUGGGGAUGGACUCGCGGCUUAUCAGCUUGUUGGUGGGGUAGUGGCUUACCAAGGGUUUGACGGGUAGCCGGCCUGAGAGGGUGACCGGCGACAUUGGGACUGAGAUACGGCCCAGUGGGCUACGGGAGGCAGCAGUGGGGAGUAUUGCACAGUGAGCGGGAGCCUGAUGAGGAGACCCCGCGUUCGGGAUGACGGCCUUCGGGUUGUGAACCGCUUUCGCCUGUGACGAAGCGUGAGUGACGGUAAUGGGUAAAGAAGCACCGGCUAACUACGUG